rnacentral:rRNA from 1 species
CCUAGGGAGGCAGCAGUCGGGAAUAUUGCGCAAUGGAGGAAACUCUGACGCAGUGACGCCGCGUGCAGGAAGAAGGUUUUCGGAUUGUAAACUGCUUUAGACAGGGAAGAAAAAAGACAGUACCUGUAGAAUAAGCUCCGGCUAACUACGUGCCAGCAGCCGCGGUAAUACGGAGGAUGCGAGCGUUAUCCGGAUUUAUUGGGUUUAAAGGGUGCGCAGGCGGAAGAUCAAGUCAGCGGUAAAAUUGAGAGGCUCAACCUCUUCGAGCCGUUGAAACUGGUUUUCUUGAGUGAGCGAGAAGUAUGCGGAAUGCGUGGUGUAGCGGUGAAAUGCAUAGAUAUCACGCAGAACUCCGAUUGCGAAGGCAGCAUACCGGCGCUCAACUGACGCUCAUGCACGAAAGUGUGGGUAUCGAACAGGAUUAGAUACCCGGGUAGUC